rnacentral:tRNA from 1 species
GUUUUCUUAGUAUAUAAGUACAUUUGACUUCCAAUCAAAAAGUUUGAAACCUCAAAGAAAACA